UAAACGACUCUCGGCAACGGAUAUCUCGGCUCUCGCAUCGAUGAAGAACGUAGCGAAAUGCGAUACUUGGUGUGAAUUGCAGAAUCCCGUGAACCAUCGAGUCUUUGAACGCAAGUUGCGCCCGAAGCCUUCUGGCCGAGGGCACGUCUGCCUGGGCGUCACGCA
rnacentral:rRNA from 5 species